rnacentral:rRNA from 1 species
AAACUUUCAACAAUGGAUCUCUUGGUUCCGGCAUCGAUGAAGAACGCAGCGAACUGCGAUAAGUAAUGUGAAUUGCAGAAUUCAGUGAAUCAUCGAGUCUUUGAACGCACAUUGCGCCCCCUGGCAUUCCGGGGGGCAUGCCUGUCCGAGCGUCAUUGCUGCCCAUC